ACUGAUCUGACUCAGCUGGUACAGCACGAGACUCUUAAUUUCAGGGUUGUGGGUUCGAGCCCCACGUUGGGUG